UCCGCACGCUUUAUGCAGAUGAGGGAUGACGCAGGCACAGGCCUGAGCGUCGCACGCUUUGCGUAGAUGAGGGAUGGCGCAGGCGCAGGCCUGCGCGCCACGCGCUUUACGUAGAUGAGGGCUGGCGCAGGCGUAGAUGAGGGCUGGCGCAGGCGCAGGCCUGCGCGCCUCACGCUUUAUGUACAUGAGGGAUGACGCAGGCACAGGAAUUGGCACAACCUGAAGUCAGCUCUGCAGCUUUCCAAGCUUCGUUCUGUGUGUCCUGUACUCAACAGUCAUCUCAUGCUGCAGGGUGGCUGCGUGUGCUCCGUACAUCACACCCAUAUUUCAGGGAGAAGACUGCACAUAUAACGCAGCUCUGCAUGGAACACCUUCCUCCUGGAGGGGAGGCUUCCUAGAGGUGUGGCGUUGCCCUCCGUCUUGAACAGGCUGUGAGCCGUUUUGUCAUUUGGGGUUUCUAGAUGCAAAUAGCAGAAGCUGCUGGCCAAUUACCAAAGGGAACGUGCUGUUAGGAUAUCAGGGCCUGGGAGCUGCAGCAAUGUGGGCUGACAGCAGAGAGCUAAGGCACUUUCCGAGGUGAGGAGCUGGACUGCUAUGCUGGAGACAGCUGGGCAGAAGCAGUUAGCAGGGCAUUUCCUUGUGUCCUUAUCUCAAGAGUCACAGUUUCAGGAGUGAGCAUCUCAGAGGUCAGGGUUCAUUCACAUGCCACCUCCCUUCUCACUGUGUCAUUGGGGAGGGGCCUGUCUGGACCCUCUGGCUCCUGUGACAAGAAAUGGUCCCAUCAAGUCAUCCAAGGGCUUGGAAGCCUCCCAAGGAAAGCAGGAGGGGUGGGUGCUGAGCAGCAUCCAGCAGCAAAGGUAGGCUCCAGCCCUGCAGGUGUGGCUGCGCCAUCCCAGGGAACGUGCCCCAGCAAGUGCUGGUGCUGCUCUCAUUACAGGUGGCGCUUCCUCACCUCUUGCCCUCUGGACCCACGGCAGGCACUUUCCAGGGCACAUCACGUGGGCGUGCGGUCUGGCUGCUGGGUCCACGCGGGUUCUCAAUCAUGACCUGGCUUGUAAGCUCUUUCCACAGUCGGAUAAAUGAAGCCGUCGGGGAAGUAUCCGCAAACUCUUACAGUGAGUAUGUGAUAAUGACACACGUGUGGCCCUUCUAAGACCUCCGCUAGGCGUUAUCAGGGACUGUGCUCGUGAGCGCGGACCUCCGCUAGGCGUUAUCAGGGACUGUGCUCGUGAGCGCCGACCUCCGCUAGGCGUUAUCAGGGACUGUGCUCGUGAGCGCCGACCUCCACUAGGCGUUAUCAGGGACUGUGCUUGUGAGCGUGGACUUUCACCAGCCACGCUUCCGAGGAGUGGAGUCUUUCUCAGCUCUGCCUCUCCCAGGUGACCAUCUUGUGAAGACGAUGCGUUCUUUAUACACAAGUUCUGUGUGUGUGUGUUUGUGUUCCACACACAGGACCAAAGUUGAGAUAGGCGCACAUUUUCUUGGUCCCACUUGUGGCCCCAGUCGGCUGUCAGAAGUGGGUGUGCUCCACAUGUACCCACCAUGUCAGGGCACAGUGCUCACAUUUCACACCUCAGCAGGUGCCUUGAUGUUGACCAGAGGCCCCAAAAUCAUCUCUUUCUAUGACUUCUAGAUCUUAGAUUCCCAGGAACUGGGAAAUGCAGUUAGUAUCUUUUGGGUCCAAGAAACUUUGUCAGAGCCCUUGUGGGAGAACCAUAGAUUCUCACCAGAUAAACAGAAGAGCUUCGUGUUAGAGAGACUGCCUGUCUCCCCACAUUCUCAGUUUUCUGGAGAGCAGCUGAAAGCUAUCUGGGGUGGAGGUUGAGAGCUCCAACCGUGUAGCUGAUGUAUCGGGCAAGUUGCUUAAGCUCUUUAAUGCUGUUUCCUCAUUUAUUGUGUGAGGCCAAAAAUACCCAUUCCUUAAAGUUGUGAGGAUUAAAAACAGUAAUGAAAAGUGAGUGGCAAAUGCCGAGUACAUAGUCAAGUACCUGAUACUUUUUAGUGUAAGGUAAGUAGCAAGAAAGCUUGAAAUUUAUUUCCAUUUACUCUUACUACAUGCGGUAAACCAUCUAUGCACAGAGCACUGCAUUGGGUGCCAUGAAUGACAGAAUAAGAGUAACAGGUGCAUGAACAGCUUAAAAGACAGAUGAGACAGAGCUAGGCUGCAGAAGACUUAAAAACUUCAUGUAUAUAACUUUUAAUGGACACACUGUACGUGUUUAUGGGGUACGAUUUGUUGUUUCCAUGCAUAUCUGUGUUGUGUAAUGAUCCAAUCAGGGUAGUGUGUGUGCCCAUUUCCUCAAGGGUGGAUCAUUAUGCGUAUCAUCGUGCUUCAUCAUGUAUCAUGCAUGUACCAUCAUCAUGCAUCAUUGUGCAUCAUCAUGCCUGUAUCAUUAUGUAUCAUCUCAUGCAUAUAUUAUAAUGUAUCACCUC
rnacentral:lncRNA from 1 species